GGGGGCCCGCACAAGCAGCGGAGCAUGUGGUUUAAUUCGAAGCAACGCGAAGAACCUUACCUAGACUUGACAUCCCCUGCAUAACCCAGAGAUGGGCGAAGUCCUUCGGGACAGGGUGACAGGUGGUGCAUGGUUGUCGUCAGCUCGUGUCGUGAGAUGUUGGGUUAAGUCCCGCAACGAGCGCAACCCUUAUCAUUAGUUGCUACCAUUAAGUUGAGCACUCUAGUGAGACUGCCCGGGUUAACCGGGAGGAAGGUGGGGAUGACGUCAAAUCAUCAUGCCCCUUAUGUCUAGGGCUACACACGUGCUACAAUGGUGAGUACAAAGAGAUGCAAGACCGCAAGGUGGAGCCAAACUCAAAAGCUCAUCCCAGUUCGGAUUGUAGGCUGCAACUCGCCUACAUGAAGCCGGAGUUGCUAGUAAUCGCGAAUCAGCAUGUCGCGGUGAAUACGUUCCCGGGCCUUGUACACACCGCCCGUCACACCAUGAGAGCUGGUAACACCCGAAGUCCGUGAGGUAACCGCAAGGAGCCAGCGGCCGAAGGUGGGAUUAGUGAUUGGGGUGA
rnacentral:rRNA from 1 species